AUGGAGCCCCAACAGAGCCCCAAAUGGAGCCCAAAACGGAGCCCCAACAGAGCCCAAAAUGGAGCCCAAAACGGAGCCCCAAAUGGAGCCCCAAACCGAGCCCCAAAUGGAGCCCAAACCGAGCCCCAAACUGAGCCCCAACAGAGCCCCAAAUGGAGCCCAAACCGAGCCCCAAAUGGAGCCCCAACAGAGCCCCAAACAGCGCCCCAACAGAGCCCUAACAGAGCCCAAAAUGGAGCCCCAAAUGGAGCCCCAAACAGAGCCCAAAACGGAGCCCAAAAUGGAGCCCCAAACAGAGCCCAAAACAGAGCCCCAAACAGCGCCCCAACAGAGCCCAAAAUGGAGCCCCAAACAGAGCCCCAAACAGAGCCCCAACAGAGCCCAAAACAGAGCCCCAAACGGAGCCCCAAACGGAGCCCAAAAUGGAGCCCCAACAGAGCCCAAAACGGAGCCCCAACAGAGCCCAAAACAGAGCCCCAACAGAGCCCAAAAUGGAGCCCCAAACAGCGCCCCAACAGAGCCCCAAACCAAGCCCAAAACAGAGCCCCAAACAGAGCCAUUCAGCCCCAAACAGAGCCCCAACAGAGCCCCAAACGGAGCCCCAAACUGAGCCCCAACAGAGCCCAAAACAGCGCCCAUAAACGGAGCCCCAAACCGAGCCCAAAACAGAGCCCCAAACAGCGCCCCAAACAGAGCCCCAAAUGGAGCCCAAACCGAGCCCCAAACCGAGCCCCAAACAGCGCCCCAAAUGGAGCCCCAAAUGGAGCCCCAAAUGGAGCCCCAACAGAGCCCAAAACGGAGCCCCAACAGAGCCCCAAACAGAGCCCAAAACGGAGCCCAAAAUGGAGCCCCAAACAGAGCCCAAAACAGAGCCCCAAACAGCGCCCCAACAGAGCCCAAAAUGGAGCCCCAAAUGGAGCCCCAAACAGAGCCCAAAACGGAGCCCCAAAAAAGUGCCCAAAACAGCGCCGUUCAGCCCAAACUGAACCCCAAAUGGAGCCCCAAACAGAGCCCAGAACGGAGCCCCAAACAGAGCCCCAACAGAGCCCCAACAGAGCCCCAACAGAGCCAUUCAGCCCCAACAGAGCCCCAAACAGAGCCCAAAGUGGAGCCCCAACAGAGCCCAAAACGGAGCCCAAACAGAGCCCCAACAGAGCCCCAAACAGAGCCCAAAAUGGAGCCCCAAAUGGAGCCCCAAACAGCGCCCAAAACAGCGCCCAUAAACGGAGCCCCAAACCGAGCCCAAAACAGAGCCCCAAACAGCGCCGUUCAGCCCCACAUGGAGCCCAAAACGGAGCCCAAAUCAGAGCCCAAAACAGCAUCAUUCAGCCCAAACUGAGCCCCAAACCGAGCCCCAAACAGCCCCAAACCGAGCCCCAAGCAGAGCCCCAACAGAGCCCCAAACAGCCCCAAACAGCCCCAAACAGAGCCCCAAACGGAGCCCCAAACAGCCCCAAACUGAGCCCCAACAGAGCCCCAACAGAGCCCCAACAGAGCCCCAACAGAGCCCCAAACAGCACCAUUCAGCCCCAAACCGAGCCCAAAACGGAGCCCCAAACAGCACCAUUCAGCCCAAAAUGGAGCCCCAGAGCCCAAAACAGCGCUGUUCAUCCCCACAUGGAGCCCCAUAUGGAGCCCAAAACAGCACCCAAAACGGAGCCCCAAACAGCAUCAUUCAGCCCAAACCGAGCCCCAAACAGAGACCAAAACUGCACCCAAAACAGCACCCAAAACAGCACCAUCUCAGCCCAAAUUGGAGCCCAAACUUUGGGAUCUCAGCCCAAAACGGAGCCCAGAACGAUGAGAUCUGAGCCCAAAAUGGAGCUUAAAACUGCAGGAUCUCAGCCCAAAACUGACCCAAAACACCAGGAUCUCAGCCCAAAACGGAGCCCAAAACGGAGCCCAAAACUGCAGGAUCUCAGCCCAAAACUGACCAAAAACUGUGAUCUGAGCCCAAAACGGACCCCAAACUGA
ensembl:lncRNA